CUGGUUAUCAGCUUGACUAUAUCUGGAAUGAACUACAGUCCAGAAUUGGAAGGCUCACCUUUGAUCCUGAUCUUGAGGCUGAGAGAUACAAGUUUCUAACCCGGAUCUUGGUAUGGAGAUCUUGAGGCAAAGUGGCUAUGACUCUAAGGCAAGGAGAUCUCUGAGUUCAAGGUCACCUGGGACAAAGAAAGUCCUGGACCCAGGCGUGUUGGUACACACCUUUAAUCUGGGAUACACCUUCUGCUGGAAACCUAUAUAAGGACAUUGGAAGAAGGAAGAGUCUCUUUUUUGCCUGUCUACCUUGUGGGACUGAGCCACCCUAGAUCCUUGGACUUCCAUUCACAGCUGCUGCUGACCAUUGUUGGAGAGUUGGACUACAGACUCACGUGAGCCCUCACGGAAAGACCUUAUCAACUGGAAGAAGCUUCAGGUGCAAAAGUGCUCGUUCACACUGAGUGGUC
rnacentral:lncRNA from 1 species